GAUGAACGCUGGCGGCGUGUUUAACACAUGCAAGUCGAACGGAGUGCCUUUGAAAGAGGAUUCGUCCAAUUGAUAAGGUUACUUAGUGGCGGACGGGUGAGUAACGCGUGAGGAACCUGCCUUGGAGUGGGGAAUAACACAGUGAAAAUUGUGCUAAUACCGCAUAAUGCAGUUGGGCCGCAUGGCUCUGACUGCCAAAGAUUUAUCGCUCUGAGAUGGCCUCGCGUCUGAUUAGCUAGUUGGUGGGGUAACGGCCCACCAAGGCGACGAUCAGUAGCCGGACUGAGAGGUUGGCCGGCCACAUUGGGACUGAGACACGGCCCAGACUCCUACGGGAGGCAGCAGUGGGGAAUAUUGGGCAAUGGGCGCAAGCCUGACCCAGCAACGCCGCGUGAAGGAAGAAGGCUUUCGGGUUGUAAACUUCUUUUCUUAGGGACGAAGCAAGUGACGGUACCUAAGGAAUAAGCCACGGCUAACUACGUGCCAGCAGCCGCGGUAAUACGUAGGUGGCAAGCGUUAUCCGGAUUUACUGGGUGUAAAGGGCGUGUAGGCGGGAUUGCAAGUCAGAUGUGAAAACCACGGGCUCAACCUGUGGCCUGCAUUUGANACUGUAGUUCUUGAGUACUGGAGAGGCAGACGGAAUUCCUAGUGUAGCGGUGAAAUGCGUAGAUAUUAGGAGGAACACCAGUGGCGAAGGCGGAUUGCUGGACAGUAACUGACGCUGAGGCGCGAAAGCGUGGGGAGCANACAGG
rnacentral:rRNA from 1 species